UACGUAGGGGGCAAGCGUUGUCCGGAAUUAUCGGGCGUAAAGCGCGUGUAGGCGGCCAGAUAAGUCCGCUGUGAAAUCUCGAGGCUCAACUUCGAGCUGUCGGUGGAAACUGUCUGGCUAGAGUCCGGAAGAGGAGAAUGGAAUUCCUGGUGUAGCGGUGAAAUGCGCAGAUAUCAGGAAGAACACCCGUGGCGAAGGCGGUUCUCUGGGACGGUACUGACGCUGAGACGCGAAAGCGUGGGGAGCGAACAGG
rnacentral:rRNA from 1 species